UACGGGGGGGGCAAGCGUUGUUCGGAUUUACUGGGCGUAAAGGGCGCGUAGGCGGCCACUGCAAGUCAGUUGUGAAAUCUCCGGGCUUAACCCGGAAAGGUCAACUGAUACUGCAGGGCUAGAGUGCAGAAGGGGCAACUGGAAUUCUCGGUGUAGCGGUGAAAUGCGCAGAUAUCGAGAGGAACACCUGCGGCGAAGGCGGGUUGCUGGGCUGACACUGACGCUGAUGUGCGAAAGCUAGGGGAGCGAACGGG
rnacentral:rRNA from 1 species